rnacentral:tRNA from 1 species
GGUUCCAUAGUGUAGUGGUUAGCACAUCUGCUUUACACGCAGAAGGUCCUGGAUUCGUGCCCCAGCAGAACCA